GUAAAAAUGCUGAAUAAACUUCUAAAGUACAUUUUGGUGUUUAUUAGUUUUGUAUUCGUAAUUCAGGGAAGUCCACUCGAUGAAGAACAUAUCAGACCUAAACGGGGAGAACUGCCAGGAUUUGAAGAUGUUCUAGGAAACUUCUUAGACGUCGCCAUGCAAGUAAUGGAAUCUGUUCAGGGUUUUGGUGAUAUGAUUGGAAUAGGCGGCGGAGGGGAUUCCGACAAAACAAACCUAUCAAAGAAAAGACAAAGAAAUUAAGAAUAAUGCUUGUAAAUUUAUAAAAAUCUGUUUAUUUAGUUUGUUGUUUGAAGCAUUUGUAGUUAAAUAAAUAUUGUUUAUGUUUAA